UGCUCAGCCUUACUGGAAAAAGACAUUUCCUGAUAAACUUCUUUUGUUUCGAAAAGCUUCAAGUUGCCAGCUGUCAGUUUCUGUGAUCUGGGUCCAUGUCAGAGCUUUGGUGCAGUGCACACGUCCAGAACAAAAAAUACUGGGGACCCAGAAUCAAAUCUGACUUGCGUCGCAUCCUGAUGGAUCCCUUGUCCCCUUUCUCUUUCCACUUUUCUAUUAAA